rnacentral:misc_RNA from 1 species
GAUGAAGAACGUAGCGAAAUGCGAUAAGUAAUGUGAAUUGCAGAAUUCAGUGAAUCAUCGAAUCUUUGAACGCACAUUGCGCCCGCCAGUAUUCUGGCGGGCAUGCCUGUUCGAGCGUCAUUUCAACCCUCAAGACCCCUUCGGGGGACUUGGUGUUGGGGACCGGUUGUUCCCGGCCUGCUUCUUGCAGCGCCUUUAUGCCGCCCCCGAAAUGAAUUGGCGGCCUCGUCGCGGCCUCCCCUGCGUAGUAGCACAACCUCGCAACGGGAACGUGACGGCGGCCACUGCCGUAAAACAACCCCAAUUUUAUUAGAGUUGACCUCGAAUCAGGUAGGAAUACCCGCUGAACUUAAGCAUAUCAAUAAGCGGAGGA